CAUCUUCUUUCUUCAUCCACAUCGCCGCCCACUCUGUUCGUUUCUAGCCCCAUCCAAACCGAAGCCAGAUCCAGUCGAUGCGAGAAGCGAGCGAAGGUAGCGCGGGUUGCGCUAGGUGGCCGGUGAGCAAAGCGGCAGCGUGUGGCUUUGGUCACCUACGCGUCAUGGGAGAGACCGGCGACGUCUACGACCUACCGGCGCUCUGGUCCUUCGCCGGCGGCGUGGAUGGAAAAGCCGCCGGUCUGCUCGGUUGGGGGACCGACGGCGGCGGUUGUGCUGCGUGUGGACGCUGCCGAGGAUGGCUGCAAGUACCAGCAAUACCUCGAGUUCGUAUUGGGCGGCUUUCUCGCCAACGAGGUGGAGAGGAAAGGAGGUAGCCUCGAGGGGCCUCGCGUACCUCCACGGCGAGAUUACAGACUCCGGCUCUGCGACGACCCUGGAUUCGGCGGGCUCGGGGCACGCCACCGUUCAUGGCACCCGACGAGGCGAGCGGGGAGGAGCAGGGCGACCCCAUCGACCUUUGGAUUUGUUGGCCGGCCGUACGACGAUAAGGUGCCUCGCGUCCGCGGCGCCGCUUCGCCUGCUUCUCUCCCUCCUCUUGAAUCGAUGGAUCCAGACCAGGUUAAAGUUAUCUCUCGCUCUAUCUCUCUUUCAUGUUAAAUGUCUGGGAAGAAAGUUCUAGGAUAUGCAUUUUGUAUUAGUGUUCCCCACAUGUUUGGUGAUUUGCUCCGCCAUGCUCAUGUCUUGCCGCUCUCUGUGUCCUAGGUGCCUAGGUGAAUCGUCUCCGCUUCCGGCCGUUCGUCAGGUACUUCCACCGCCCCUACUGAUCUGGCUCCCUUGGACAGCAGUCCUUAACUUGCCGGUUGGUCUGCCGUGUGGGUGCUCGACGGCCAGCAACGCUGGUGCGUGCUCAUGGUCCAGGAGGGCGUCCUUGAGGCUGCCUUGCUUCUAGGUUCUACCCAGACGAAGAUGAUGAUGCCCACGCGGAGGAUUGUGCUAAUGGAGGGAGUCUGCAGCAGGAGCGGAUCGAUAAGGCUGCUGGUUGAGCGGCACAUGGAUUCUUGAUGGCAGGGUGUGUGACGCUCUGAUUGGUAGAGCAAGCAUGGCCACUCUGCAUUUAGAAGAGGGAUGCACGGUGGAUAUGUCUGAAUUCAUCGAUGGUGUCUUUGAUUCACGGAUUUGCAAUCACUGGUGAGGAAUAAACAUGGACUUUGCGCAUCAUAUCGUUUUUCUGAAGGGAUAAUUUUAAAUCUUUUCUACUCUCACUUAAGUGCUACGAGUGUUUUAAUCAGCGAAAUGAAACAAGUGUUCAGUUUCGAUAUUUCAUUUUGAAUGAAAUAUGUACGCAUUAACCAGGCUUCUGGCCGAGGUAUUCAUGGUCCACAUCUGGUCCCUUGUCCUGAAGAACUAGGUAUGUUACAUCUUUCUGUUUACAAUUAUCUUAUCUGUGAGGAGAUGAAAACUUUGGUUAUCGUGGUAACUAGCAUAGAAAGCUUGCCUAUGAAGCAGCAUUAAAUAUAUUGCUCUCCCAUCAGUAUUAUAGUCUAGAUAUGCGACUUUUAUUGGUAAACUACGUUAGAUAAAACUCCCUUUUUAUAAAUGUUGACCGCUUCUCUUUGUGCCAUUCGUUAAGAGCUCUACAUACUAUCAUGUCUGAACUUAUGUUGAUCAGAUUAGGCAAAUCAUGCUUGAAUAAAUUUAUAUCCAGCAUUGCCAAUCCUUACUAAUUUGCUACAGAGUAAUAUAAAUAUUCAUUGUGGACAUAAUCCACAUAUAAUUGUUUAUCUCUUCAAUCUUCGUUAACAGAAUUUUACCACUUCCAAAUAGAUGGGAGAUAAAGUAUUUUAAGAUUCAUCAACCUGAUGGUCUACUAAUAAUUGUGAAAUAAUCCAAAUCAUUAAGCAUCUUGAAGUUGUUUUUUGCUGCCAUGUCAUUUCUAAAUCAAUCGUUUGUCUGAAGUACUUGCAUUCUUAUAAUAUAUUGGGAAUUUUGGAUAAAGUGGUGAGACGUUGGAGGUAGUUUCCUUUGUUGAUUUUUUUUAAUAACCAAUGAAUUGAAUAAUUGGCUUAAUGUUGCAUAUGCUUAAGGGUCACGAUUAGUUUCAUGUGUACAAAAUAGUAGCAGGUGGAAACUGAUGGAAACUGAUGGUGUUCUUUUGAAAAAUGGAACGGGGCCCAAUCAUACAAGUGUGCCGUGGUAGAGUCAAAACAAAAAUCAUCCAACUUAUUCCCUACGCUAUGGUUAGUUACACACUUGGACUUUGUAAUUUGGAUAUCACAUUGUACAGAAGUACUAUUAGUGUGAUUCAGUUUUUCCUAAAAAAUAUUGUCAAUCAGGAAAACCUCGGCUCAUUUUGAACAAGAAGCUAAUAUGAUUACGACGUACUGUCUUAGCAUACUAUUCUUUAGAGCAAUAGAUAGUGGAUAUCAAAUGCUUUGAACAAGAACCAAAUCAAGAUUACUACGGGUUAUAUGUGUCCUGGGAAUUUUUGUUUUCUGAUUUAUUAUUUUUUCUAUUCAAGAUGAAAUCAACAAUUUGGAUCUGAGCCUAUACAAUUACUUUUUUUUUCAAGGAAUCCAUUCUUCUGGUUAUUUUUUAUUCCAAAUGAACUCAAAUCAUUUGGAACUAAACAUGUAAUGUUUCCCUGGUUCAAGGAAUGUGCACAUAUAGAGAACAUGGUCAUAGCUCUAUCAAAUAAGGGUUAAUGUAAGUAAACAGUUAAUGAUACGCUUAAGUGUUUUUUUUCCCUCAGUUGAACUAUUUUGUAGUUUCAGUUCAGUUCUGAUUUGUGCAUAGGUGUAUUUUCCUGGCCAUCCAUAUAUGGGCAAUUGCCAUGAAUUUAGGAACAUGCUAAUUAGGCACUUAUUCAUUGCAUUCACCUAUAGAAUGUAUAUUGUGUAAGAUUCAAGAUUCUCAUAUUUUGCUAUUGGUGUAUUACAUAACAAGAAAUAGCAGAGAAAUUCAAUUCGGCUCCCAGGUGCAUAUGCUCCCUCUACCAAAAAAUUAUAUUUCGAAAUAUCGAAAAAAUUUGACAAAAAAUUAUACAUGUACAUAUCCAUAAUUUAUGUUUGUUCGUCAAGUUUCGUUAGGAAACAACAUUUUUUGUGGUCUAUGUAAAAAAGAGAAAAUGUAUCUUCUUAAAAAACCUCAUUUCUACCAUUGAAUUUUGUCUUUUAACACAUAUGCCACACGACACAAGUCUAUUUUUCAUGAAACAACUUUGCGAGCGCGUCAUUUCAUGAAAUUUCAUUUCAAUUUUUCAUGAAACAACUUUGUGAGGAACAUACAACUUUGCGAAUUUUUCGUUUCAAUUUUUUUCUCAAUUAGAAUGGAUCGGCUAUUUAAGUCUGCCAUCUUUCUUGAACAUUUUGGUCUUAUGAUUUCUUUCACCUACUCUAUUCCUAUGUAUUGCUAAGCCAUUUCAUCCUACUAUCUUUCUUGAACAUUUUGUCCUUAUAUCCUUAAUUUCUUCUAUUCAGUUACUUAUGUACUGCUAAGUUACCGAAUAAGUAAUUAAUGUUUAGGGCUAGGCGGUUACAUUGUUGGAAACCAAUAUAACUUUUAAUUUCAUCUAUUGAAGCUGACACUGAUUAUAGCUACAUUUCUCUAUUACUGUCCUAACCCUUCUCAGUUUUUCAAUUUUGAAUUGAUAACCUGGCACACAGGGAUAUGAAUGCAAUUAACUUACCUUUUCUCAAAAUAUUUCAAGUUCGGUUCUCUUGAUAUCAUCGUUCACUUCAUGGAAGAGUUAUCAGCCAUACACAUCAUUUCUGAAGUGAUGACGGCUGAUGAAAGUUCUGGUUAGCAUGAUCAGGUCACCUUACAAGCUUGAGGUGUGCAUGGUGGUAUUGGCAUAUAUUUGUUCAUCAACCCUAGAAGAAAUGCAUGGUGUUAUUGUCUCCAUAUUAUUGAAUUUUUUGCAGUUUGGUUAAUUCAUAACUUUUAAGGAACACAUAGUUCUAAAUCUUCAACUGUCAUAUUAUUUUUCAGAUAUGAAGAAACACCCCUUAUCUGUUCAAUCUGUAUAUUUGGCUAACUUAGCAUUGCAUUAAUGCUUUAUGAGUCCCACCCACCAACCUCAUUGGUGACCUAGACUCUUAUUCACCUAAAAGUCUUACGUGGAAUGGCAGAAAAGUGUAUACAUGACGGGAUCUUAAUCUAAGCAGUAGGUUUAUUUGGGAGUUCAACAUAUGUGCUUAAUUUUUGGAUUGAUUAUACGAAUGUGAAUCUUCUGUUUAUUUAUUUAUUUAUCUCUCCACCUAGCCUUCAGAAUAUAAGAAAUAAACCUUUUCUUGCAUUUCAACACAACUCAUGUGAUUUGUAAAGAUAGUUUAAUUAGUUUACCAGUUAUGCAUUCACUACCAACUCGCUUCGGAACAUUUUUUUUCUUGAUGAUGUGUUUAUAUAUAGUUAUGGUAUCAUAGCUGAGUUUAAUAUAUCGUUGUAAGGUGUCACAUGUACUCCCUCCGGUCUCUUUUAAUUGACUCGGAUUUAGUACAAUUUUAUACCAAAUUCGAGUCAGUUAAAAAGGACCGGAGGGAGUAGUUAGGAUGUAUCAUUGAGUAAGUACAAUUCCGUUGAAAGGGGACCAGAAUUAGCCUACUUGAGUUUUUACAUACCACACAGUUUUCCUUUUAUUUGUUCAAUAUGUCUGAGAUCAGGUUACCAUAUAGAGAAACAAUUCAGUAAGUUCUCCUUGCACAGUGUUAUCUCACCCGUUUAGGAAGCAGUUCAUCAAGCUUCAUUUUGAUGGUCUAAUGGUCAACCAAAGCUAGAUAAGAGAAUUAGAACCACUGUAGAAGGUAUUGAAUAUUAUGUUUGGUUCCAAGUUGAUAUGUAGCAAAAAUUUACCUUUGAAUGUCUACUCUAUGCUAUUCUCAUUAUCUUCCAAAUUGCAGGAAAAAAUAUUUCUAUUUUUAGGUAUAAAGUGCACCAAGAUUUCUUUUCUUGGUCAUGAUGGCUUUGCCAUGGUGCUAUAGUGCUAUGGCCCCGACACGCUCUUGGUGUGUUUGCAUCCACUUGGCUAGCAAAACAAAGUUAGCAGAAGUCCUCUAUGUUAAAUUUGUUCUCCAUGCAGUCCAAACUUCUAAGUUCUAUUUUUUUGGACCAUGCCACUACACUGUAGUUUUAGAUUUUUAAACAGUUUCUAUUUGCAAAUCGCACAUUCAUUAACUAGAAUGGUGAGUUCUUCAUUGAAUCAUUAUAAUGCAUUAGCUCUACUAUUAGUCCAAGCUUCUAAGUCUGAUCUGUUUUUUAGUCAUAGAACACAUCAAGGGAAUCAUCGAGGAGUCCACCCGGUCCAAACAUGACAGGGAAGUCACAUGGGCUUUCUACAUCGCCAACUAGAUGGUGAUCGAAAGGCUCCUCGGGCGGGACGGUGAUGGCUUUACCGGCGAUGAUGAGCCAGGAUCCUCUUCCAAGAGAAUAUGAACCAUACCAGCCUGUUGUCCCUCUGCCAAUAUUUUUCUUAUCUGACAAUGAGGAUGAUGACAGCAAGCGGUGAUGUUCGUAGGCAAAGGAAAAAAGAAGGCACUUACCCUAACUUAGUAUUUGGUUGUUUCCUUCGAGUUUUAUCUACUCGAUGUGUACUAUGUACCUGAUUUCGCUGCCCUUAGUUGUGAUCUUAUCUGUUAGGCGCAUGUCACUGGAGAAAAUAAACCGCCGAAGCCUUGAAACUUUUGCAAACGCCUACUCUAGGCAGGGUGUUGUAGAUGGCAGUGCACAUGGCACGGUUCCACAUAUAGUGUUCCACAUGUGCCCAAGAUUUUUAUACUUA